rnacentral:rRNA from 1 species
UACGUAGGGUGCAAGCGUUAAUCGGAAUUACUGGGCGUAAAGCGUGCGCAGGCGGCUUUGCAAGACAGAUGUGAAAUCCCCGGGCUUAACCUGGGAACUGCAUUUGUGACUGCAUGGCUGGAGUGCGGCAGAGGGGGAUGGAAUUCCCGGUGUAGCAGUGAAAUGCGUAGAUAUCGGGAGGAAUACCGAUGGCGAAGGCAGGUCUCUGGGCUGACACUGACGCUCAUGCACGAAAGCGUGGGGAGCAAACAGG